UCCAAUCCCACCACUCGAGCCGGCAAAUUCUUCCUAAAUUUUACCUAUCAUUACCCAAUCAUUCGUUUGACCACACAGCCAGAGCCCCCUUAUCCCUUGUCCACCUACAAGCCAACUCCUUCCCUCUUUAAUUCCUUAAAUUCGUCCCAAUUUGCUCUUAGAAUUCACAUUUUGGGGCUUCAAUUUGCUGAAGUUCGAAUCUUUCGACGUUAUUAUCCCUCGUUUUUGUGAUCCUAUCCUCCCUUCUUUUGCUUCUGGAUUUAGAGUAGUUGGGGCUUUCUAUGGCUCUGCAACUCAGCAGUGCGGGGUUUUGCCUCUUUCGUGGCAGGAGAGCUCUUACGACGAGAGCCGUGGCCUCUGAGGAUGUUACAACGUUGAAAGAAGAGAACAAAG
rnacentral:lncRNA from 1 species